GGUUCCAUAGUGUAGUCGUCAUCACGUCUGCUUUACACGCAGAAGGUCCUGGGUUCAAUCCCCAGUGGAACCA